CAAUGGGAACGGGACUCUGACACAGGUGUGCAGGAGUCGUCAGCUCGUGUCGUGAGAUGUUGGGUUAAGUCCCGUAACGAGCGCAACCUUGUCCUUAGUUACCAGCACGUUAUGGUGGGCACUCUAAGGAGACUGCCGGUGACAAACCGGAGGAAGGUGGGGAUGACGUCAAGUCAUCAUGGCCCUUACGGCCUGGGCUACACACGUGCUACAAUGGUCGGUACAGAGGGUUGCCAAGCCGCGAGGUGGAGCUAAUCUCACAAAACCGAUCGUAGUCCGGAUCGCAGUCUGCAACUCGACUGCGUGAAGUCGGAAUCGCUAGUAAUCGCGAAUCA
rnacentral:rRNA from 1 species